UUGAACGCUGGCGGCAGGCCUAACACAUGCAAGUCGAACGGUAACAGGAAACAGCUUGCUGUUUCGCUGACGAGUGGCGGACGGGUGAGUAAUGUCUGGGAAACUGCCUGAUGGAGGGGGAUAACUACUGGAAACGGUAGCUAAUACCGCAUAACGUCGCAAGACCAAAGAGGGGGACCUUCGGGCCUCUUGCCAUCGGAUGUGCCCAGAUGGGAUUAGCUAGUAGGUGGGGUAACGGCUCACCUAGGCGACGAUCCCUAGCUGGUCUGAGAGGAUGACCAGCCACACUGGAACUGAGACACGGUCCAGACUCCUACGGGAGGCAGCAGUGGGGAAUAUUGCACAAUGGGCGCAAGCCUGAUGCAGCCAUGCCGCGUGUAUGAAGAAGGCCUUCGGGUUGUAAAGUACUUUCAGCGGGGAGGAAGGGAGUAAAGUUAAUACCUUUGCUCAUUGACGUUACCCGCAGAAGAAGCACCGGCUAACUCCGUGCCAGCAGCCGCGAUAAUACGGAGGGUGCAAGCGUUAAUCGGAAUUACUGGGCGUAAAGCGCACGCAGGCGGUUUGUUAAGUCAGAUGUGAAAUCCCCGGGCUCAACCUGGGAACUGCAUCUGAUACUGGCAAGCUUGAGUCUCGUAGAGGGGGGUAGAAUUCCAGGUGUAGCGGUGAAAUGCGUAGAGAUCUGGAGGAAUACCGGUGGCGAAGGCGGCCCCCUGGACGAAGACUGACGCUCAGGUGCGAAAGCGUGGGGAGCAAACAGGAUUAGAUACCCUGGUAGUCCACGCCGUAAACGAUGUCGACUUGGAGGUUGUGCCCUUGAGGCGUGGCUUCCGGAGCUAACGCGUUAAGUCGACCGCCUGGGGAGUACGGCCGCAAGGUUAAAACUCAAAUGAAUUGACGGGGGCCCGCACAAGCGGUGGAGCAUGUGGUUUAAUUCGAUGCAACGCGAAGAACCUUACCUGGUCUUGACAUCCACGGAAGUUUUCAGAGAUGAGAAUGUGCCUUCGGGAACCGUGAGACAGGUGCUGCAUGGCUGUCGUCAGCUCGUGUUGUGAAAUGUUGGGUUAAGUCCCGCAACGAGCGCAACCCUUAUCCUUUGUUGCCAGCGGUCCGGCCGGGAACUCAAAGGAGACUGCCAGUGAUAAACUGGAGGAAGGUGGGGAUGACGUCAAGUCAUCAUGGCCCUUACGACCAGGGCUACACACGUGCUACAAUGGCGCAUACAAAGAGAAGCGACCUCGCGAGAGCAAGCGGACCUCAUAAAGUGCGUCGUAGUCCGGAUUGGAGUCUGCAACUCGACUCCAUGAAGUCGGAAUCGCUAGUAAUCGUGGAUCAGAAUGCCACGGUGAAUACGUUCCCGGGCCUUGUACACACCGCCCGUCACACCAUGGGAGUGGGUUGCAAAAGAAGUAGGUAGCUUAACCUUCGGGAGGGCGCUUACCACUUUGUGAUUCAUGACUGGGGUG
rnacentral:rRNA from 1 species